UACGAAGGGGACUAGCGUUGUUCGGAAUUACUGGGCGUAAAGCGCACGUAGGCGGAUUUGUUAGUCAGGGGUGAAAUCCCGGGGCUCAACCUCGGAACUGCCUUUGAUACUGCAAGUCUCGAGUCCGAUAGAGGUGGGUGGAAUUCCUAGUGUAGAGGUGAAAUUCGUAGAUAUUAGGAAGAACACCGGUGGCGAAGGCGGCCCACUGGAUCGGUACUGACGCUGAGGUGCGAAAGCGUGGGGAGCAAACAGG
rnacentral:rRNA from 2 species